AACGCACCUUGCGCCCUUUGGUAUUCCGAAGGGCAUGCCUGUUUGAGUGUCAUUGAACCAUCGACCUUGCGAGCUUUUUCCGCUGGCAAGGCUCGGACGUGAGGGCUUUUGCUGGCUUCCUUCAGUGGAUGGUCUGCUCCCUUCAAAUGCAUUAGUGGGAUCCUUUGUGGAUGGUCACUUGGUGUGAUAAUUAUCUACGCCGUCCGACUUGAAGCAAGACCUGUGGGAACCCGCUCAUAACCCCGUCUCUUGGAGACACUUUGACAAUUUGACCUCAAAUCAGGUAGGACUACCCGCUGAACUUAA
rnacentral:misc_RNA from 1 species